AGGACGAACGCUGGCGGCGUGCUUAACACAUGCAAGUCGAGCGGAAAGGCCCUUCGGGGUACUCGAGCGGCGAACGGGUGAGUAACACGUGAGUAACCUGCCCUUGGCUCUGGGAUAGCUCCGGGAAACCGGAAUUAAUACCGGAUAUGACUGCGGCCGACAUCGGCUGUGGUGGAAAGAUUUAUCGGCCAGGGAUGGGCUCGCGGCCUAUCAGCUUGUUGGUGGGGUAACGCCUACCAAGGCGACGACGGGUA
rnacentral:rRNA from 1 species